rnacentral:rRNA from 1 species
GACGAACGCUGGCGGCGUGCCUAAUACAUGCAAGUUGAGCGAUGAAGAUUGGUGCUUGCACCAAUUUGAAGAGCAGCGAACGGGUGAGUAACGCGUGGGGAAUCUGCCUUUGAGCGGGGGACAACAUUUGGAAACGAAUGCUAAUACCGCAUAAUAACUUUAAACAUAAGUUUUAAGUUUGAAAGAUGCAAUUGCAUCACUCAAAGAUGAUCCCGCGUUGUAUUAGCUAGUUGGUGAGGUAAAGGCUCACCAAGGCGAUGAUACAUAGCCGACCUGAGAGGGUGAUCGGCCACAUUGGGACUGAGACACGGCCCAAACUCCUACGGGAGGCAGCAGUAGGGAAUCGUCGGCAAUGGACGAAAGUCUGACCGAGCAACGCCGCGUGAGUGAAGAAGGUUUUCGGAUCGUAAAACUCUGUUGGUAGAGAAGAACGUUGGUGAGAGUGGAAAGCUCAUCAAGUGACGGUAACUACCCAGAAAGGGACGGCUAACUACGUG